rnacentral:rRNA from 1 species
AUGAACGCUGGCGGCGUGCCUAAUACAUGCAAGUCGAACGCGCAGCGAAAGGUGCUUGCACCUUUCAAGCGAGUGGCGAACGGGUGAGUAACACGUGGAUAACCUGUCUCAAGGCUGGGGAUAACAUUUGGAAACAGAUGCUAAUACCGAAUAAAACUUAGUAUCGCAUGAUACAAAGUUGAAAGGCGCUACGGCGUCACCUAGAGAUGGGUCCGCGGUGCAUUAGUUAGUUGGUGGGGUAAAGGCCUACCAAGACAAUGAUGCAUAGCCGAGUUGAGAGACUGAUCGGCCACAUUGGGACUGAGACACGGCCCAAACUCCUACGGGAGGCUGCAGUAGGGAAUCUUCCACAAUGGGCGAAAGCCUGAUGGAGCAACGCCGCGUGUGUGAUGAAGGCUUUAGGGUCGUAAAGCACUGUUGUAUGGGAAGAAAUGCUAGAAUAGGGAAUGAUUCUAGUUCGACGGUACCAUACCAGAAAGGGACGGCUAAAUACGUG